CCGGGCUGUUUGGAAAAGGCUGUUUGCCUUCCUCUUACCAGAGUAAGGCAGAGGAGGCACUGGGCAGAACUCUUUCUCCUUCUCCUAAAUGUCUUACUCUUAGAUUUGCUCUUUUUAAAAUAACAUACUCUAAUUUUCUGCUUGGUGUUCCUUGUCUUUUAUAGAGAGGUGUUAUAUGUAGGGUUCUGAGAAUUUUAAAUUUUCCCUUCCUGAAUUGCUCUGUAAAGGUUCAGCGCCCCCUAGCGACACAAUCCACAAUUUUCCUAGAUGCCUUGGAUAACCCUUUGAAGGAAGAUCAUUUAGUCCAACUUAAUGAAACCGACAUCCUUCGCGUACUGACGGAAACACUGGCGGCGCAUAUUGAGGCCAUAUUUCCGGAUCAGACCGUGCCGGUUUGAGCAGACGCGACAAGAGCGAGAACCCUGGCCGAAUUUUCGCGCGUGGCUCCAGUACAGCUGCUGGUGACCCAUCUUGCUCUCAGGAGUGCAACGAGGUGUAGACAUUACAACAAGACAAGAAAAAGAAAUGAAAGACAUAAGAAUUGGAAAGGAAGAACUAAAACUGUCAUUCACAGACAACAUGAUUGUGUUUGCAGAACAAGGACGGAUGCGGUGACUCACGCCUGUAAUUCCAGCACUUUGGGAGGAAAAGGUGGGUGGAUCACCUGAGGUCAGGAGUUUGAGACAAGCCUGGCCAACAUGGUGCAACCCUGUCUCUACUAAAAAUACAAAAAUUAGUCAGGUGUGGUGGCAUGUGCCGGUAGUACCAGCUACUCAGGAGGCUGAGGCAGGAGAGCCACUUGAACCCAGGAGGUGGAGGUUGCAGUGAGCUGAGAUCACGCCACUGCACUCCAGCCUGGGUGACAGAGCAAGACGAAAGAAAAGAAAGGCGG
rnacentral:lncRNA from 10 species